GAAGAGGAUUAAAAAAAAAAUCCCUUCUUUUAGUACUCGAGCAAUACAUGAUCAAUUGUAUUUUAGAAGGUUUCGGAUACAGAUCACUCGUUAACUACUAACUAGUAUAUGUAUGAACAGAAUCAUUAACACAUCUAACCCAUCGUAUACACGAAGAAACCAGUGCCACUGUAUCCCUUUAACACAUACUUAAAUCUAAUCGUUCCAUUCCAAACAAACUAAUGAAUCAUGAUCAUCAUCCAAAAUCACACAAAUGACUGAACAAAAAGGAGGGUAUAAGUAUCGUUGAACAUUAUCAAUAGAAAAGAAAUAAAAAAAGCAUAACAAAAUGUUCAAGAGAAAGUCUAAAUCUUUGAUUCUUCCUUUCAUAUGAGCUUUUCUAUAUGUCUGUGUGCAGUAACUCCACACAGGAUAUUGAGAAGAAAGAAAAG
rnacentral:misc_RNA from 1 species